rnacentral:rRNA from 1 species
CCUACGGGAGGCUGCAGUGAGGAAUAUUGGUCAAUGGGCGCGAGCCUGAACCAGCCAAGUAGCGUGAAGGAUGACUGCCCUACGGGUUGUAAACUUCUUUUAUAAAGGAAUAAAGUGAGGCACGUGUGCCUUUUUGUAUGUACUUUAUGAAUAAGGAUCGGCUAACUACGUGCCAGCAGCCGCGGUAAUACGGAGGAUCCGAGCGUUAUCCGGAUUUAUUGGGUUUAAAGGGAGCGUAGAUGGGUUGUUAAGUCAGUUGUGAAAGUUUGCGGCUCAACCGUAAAAUUGCAAUUGAUACUGGCAGCCUUGAGUACAGGUGAGGUAGGCGGAAUUCGUGGUGUAGCGGUGAAAUGCUUAGAUAUCACGAAGAACUCCGAUGGCGAAGGCAGCCGCCUAGACUGCCACUGACAUUGAUGCUCGAAAGUGUGGGUAUCAAACAGGAUUAGAUACCCGGGUAGUC